AUCCGGUGUGGCUCAAUGGUUUGGGUUUUGGACAACAAUUCUGGAGGCCAGGGUUUGAUUCCCUGCUUGGCUA